rnacentral:rRNA from 1 species
GAUGAACGCUGGCGGCGUGCCUAAUACAUGCAAGUCGAGCGAACGGACGAGAAGCUUGCUUCUCUGAUGUUAGCGGCGGACGGGUGAGUAACACGUGGAUAACCUACCUAUAAGACUGGGAUAACUUCGGGAAACCGGAGCUAAUACCGGAUGAUAUUUUGAACCGCAUGGUUCAAAAGUGAAAGACGGUCUUGCUGUCACUUAUAGAUGGAUCCGCGCUGCAUUAGCUAGUUGGUAAGGUAACGGCUUACCAAGGCAACGAUGCAUAGCCGACCUGAGAGGGUGAUCGUCCACACUGGAACUGAGACACGGUCCAGACUCCUACGGGAGGUAGCAGUAGGGAAUCUUCCGCAAUGGGCGAAAGCCUGACGGAGCAACGCCGCGUGAGUGAUGAAGGUCUUCGGAUCGUAAAACUCUGUUAUUAGGGAAGAACAUAUGUGUAAGUAACUGUGCACAUCUUGACGGUACCUAAUCAGAAAGCCACGGCUAACUACGUG